AAAAACGAAAAGAUUCUAACCCAGAAGUCAUUGCGAUUAAAUCAAAGCAUGUCAAGGAUGGAAACAAUAUGAAUGCAGUUUGUUUGGCAAGGAACUUCUAUCCAAAGAACAUCGAUUUGGAGGCAUCUUCUAAUGAUGUUGUCUACGAACAGAAUAAACCCAUUGUGACAUCCGAGGGGACAUACAGUACUAUUAAGGUGGUUCAGGUGAAACCAGAGACAGAAGUGAUCUGCAAUGCCAAGUUCAACGGCACCACUUUUACAAAAAACACAACUUUGCCAGAUAUCGAAACAGAGAAAGUGAACAUGCUGUCCACGGCUGUGCUGGGUUUGAGAGUCCUGCUGGCAAAAAGCAUCGCAUUCAAUACGCUCAUGAGUAUCAAGUUGUUUCUUUUCUGAGGUGGUGGAGAAGCCUGCCAUCAGCAGUCUAAGGAACAGAAGGAGAGAGCGUGUACCCACAGCAAUUUCAACAGCACAGGUCAAAUCUACUGACAAUCAGUAUUGAGAGCACAACAUUGCACCUUCCCCUUAGUUCCUGUAGAUUUAUCUGUCCUUUCACUUUGUCAUGCAGCUUUUCAGCUAACACUAUCUGGAAGUUUUCUUAGGAGGCGUAUUUUACUGUUGAAUCCUGUCUAGCUAGUUUAUUUCAUUUUGAAAACAAUUGUAACCGCUUUUGUUGUCUCUUAUUCCCAGUGAACUUUUCCCUUAUCCCUCUGCAAAGUAGAAACUGAUAUCCCCACUCCUCUAAACGUUGCAUAGAAGCAUCCAAACUGCUUUGGUAGUUUUGCAAAAUCAGAAUUUCACUAUAGAUCCAUGACCUUUUUAAAAUCUUUUCUAUAGGCAAAUUAUAUCACUCUGUGUUUUACAGCUUAGAGAAUUCAGGCACGGUAGAUAUCCUUUAGUUUUAAUAUUUUUUAGAUAGCUUCAAUAACAAUCAUGUUCUAGAGUAGAUGAAAAAACACAUGUUGUGAAGAUCCUUGAAGUGAUUCACUUCAACCAGAUAAUAUUCAACCAUAGUAACAGUUUAAUUUGCAUUUCUUUACCACACAUCUCUUUUGCUAAGUGUAUGACUCCUGCAUUUUAGGUUUACCCAAAAUAAAGUUUUACUAUGCCAAAAAGUUCUGUGGUUU
rnacentral:lncRNA from 1 species